UACGUAGGGACCAAGCGUUGUUCGGAUUUACUGGGCGUAAAGGGCGCGUAGGCGGCAUGACAAGUCACUUGUGAAAUCUCCGGGCUUAACUCGGAACGGCCAAGUGAUACUGUGCGACUAGAGUGCGGAAGGGGCAACUGGAAUUCUUGGUGUAGCGGUGAAAUGCGUAGAUAUCAAGAGGAACACCUGCGGCGAAGGCGGGUUGCUGGGCCGACACUGACGCUGAAGUGCGAAAGCCAGGGGAGCGAACGGG
rnacentral:rRNA from 1 species